GCCCUCUGGAGGGUGCCCGCCCCGGAGGGCCCACGGCUGGGCAGGAAGAAUAAAAUCCGUACACCUGAGCCACAGGAGAAAGCAAGAUGGUGUUCAGUGACUCUAAGUGUGAAGUUUAAAAAGGACGGAGCAGAGAGAGGAAAGGAGACGAGGAAAGCCUGGACGGAUGGGGACGAGAAUGUGUGGGGACACGGGACUGAAGGAGAGGGCAGCCCGCUCUGACGCCAUGUGACCAGGCCGCGCAGGUGCUGGGCGAGGCACCGGAUGCAACAGCGGAACAGACCCCGCCCCUGACCUCCGUGAGCUUGCGGCCAGCCUUGUAAGGAAUGCAGUGGACCGAGUGUGAAAGCUACCGCCCGCGGACACGCCCAGGACUCUGGACGCUGACCUCGUCUGGAGGGGUCAGAGGGGACGUGUGAGGAAUAACACAGAUUCUGAAGCGUGUCCUUGUAGCCGCGGAGAGGGGGUGGGAGACUUGAGGGGCUGCAGAGGCGCAGGUGCGCCGAGGGAAGGUGCGUGAGGACCCAGGAGAAGGCCGCCGUCUGCACGCCAAGGAGAGAGGCUCCAGAGGAAACAACCCCGC